GACGAACGCUGGCGGCGUGCUUAACACAUGCAAGUCGAACGGAAAGGCCCUGCUUUUGUGGGGUGCUCGAGUGGCGAACGGGUGAGUAACACGUGAGUAACCUGCCCUUGACUUUGGGAUAACUUCAGGAAACUGGGGCUAAUACCGGAUAGGAGCUCCUGCCGCAUGGUGGGGGUUGGAAAGUUUCGGCGGUUGGGGAUGGACUCGCGGCUUAUCAGCUUGUUGGUGGGGUAGUGGCUUACCAAGGCUUUGACGGGUAGCCGGCCUGAGAGGGUGACCGGCCACAUUGGGAGUGAGAUACGGCCCAGACUCCUACGGGAGGCAGCAGUGGGGAAUAUUGCACAAUGGGCGGAAGCCUGAUGCAGCAACGCCGCGUGCGGGAUGACUGCCUUCGGGUUGUAAACCGCUUUCGCCUGUGACGAAGCGUGAGUGACGGUAAUGGGUAAAGAAGCACCGGCUAACUACGUG
rnacentral:rRNA from 1 species